rnacentral:rRNA from 1 species
GGUGAGUCGGCCCCUAAGGCGAGGGCGAAAGCCGUAGUCGAUGGGAAACUGGUUAAUAUUCCAGUACUUUUGAUAACUGCGAUGGGGUGACGAAGAAGGUUAGGUGGGCCUGGCGAUGGUUGUCCAGGUUCAAGCAUGUAGGCUGAUUUCUUAGGCAAAUCCGGGAAAUCAAGGCCGAGAUGUGAUGUCGAGCUCUCUUUUGAGCGAAGCCAUUGAUACCACGCUUCCAGGAAAAGCCUCUAAGCUUCAGGUUAUCGAAAACCGUACCCCAAACCGACACAG